rfam:Pteropus alecto contig31840, whole genome shotgun sequence.
AGACUCCAUUUGGGGUCGGCCGGUUCUGGAGCUGAGCGAGGUGGACAAACAAUACUAAAAGUCGAAGUUGGAAAA